rnacentral:rRNA from 1 species
CAAAGGAAUUGACGGGGCCCGCACAAGCGGUGGAGUAUGUGGUUAAUUCGAUGCAACGCGAAGAACCUUACCUGGUCUUGACAUCCCGGAGACCCUUAGGAAACUAGGGGGUGCUUCCAUCUGGAAGAAUCUGGAGACAGGUGCUGCAUGGCUGUCGUCAGCUCGUGUCGUGAGAUGUUGGGUUAAGUCCCGCAACGAGCGCAACCCUUGCCUUUAGUUGCCAGCAGUUCGGCUGGGCACUCUAAAGGGACUGCCGGUGUUAAACCGGAGGAAGGUGGGGAUGACGUCAAGUCCUCAUGGCCUUUAUGACCAGGGCUACACACGUACUACAAUGGCCGAUACAAAGGGCAGCGACACUGCGAGGUGAAGCCAAUCCCGUAAAAUCGGUCUCAGUCCGGAUUGGAGUCUGCAACUCGACUCCAUGAAGUUGGAAUCGCUAGUAAUCGUGGAUCAGCAUGCCACGGUGAAUACGUUCCCGGGCCUU